CUCAGGGCCGGCGCUUCCAUUUAGGUGACUUAGGCGGUCGGCUAGGACGCCAGGAUUUGGGAAGGCGGCAGACUGCUGCCCGUGGAAGCA